rnacentral:rRNA from 1 species
GACGAACGCUGGCGGCGUGCUUAACACAUGCAAGUCGAACGGAAAGGCCCUGCUUUUGUGGGGUGCUCGAGUGGCGAACGGGUGAGUAACACGUGAGUAACCUGCCCUUGACUUUGGGAUAACUUCAGGAAACUGGGGCUAAUACCGGAUAGGAUCUCCUGCUGCAUGGUGGGGGUUGGAAAGUUUCGGCGGGUGGGGAUGGACUCGCGGCUUAUCAGCUUGUUGGUGGGGUAGUGGCUUACCAAGGCUUUGACGGGUAGCCGGCCUGAGAGGGUGACCGGCCACAAUGGGACUGAGGUACGGACCAGACUGCUACGGGAGGCAGCAGUGGGGAAUAUUGCACAGUGGGCGGAAGCCUGAUGAAGCAACGCCGCGUUCGGGAUGACGGCCUUCGGGUUGUAAACCGCUUUCGCCUGUGACGAAGCGUUAGUGACGGUAAUGGGUAAAGAAGCACCGGCUAACUACGUG